rnacentral:rRNA from 1 species
GUACACUCCUGCGGGAGGCAGCAGUGGGGAAUUUUGGACAAUGGGCGAAAGCCUGAUCCAGCAAUGCCGCGUGAGUGAAGAAGGCCUUCGGGUUGUAAAGCUCUUUUGUCAGGGAAGAAACGGUGAAAGCUAAUAUCUUUUGCUAAUGACGGUACCUGAAGAAUAAGCACCGGCUAACUACGUGCCAGCAGCCGCGGUAAUACGUAGGGUGCAAGCGUUAAUCGGAAUUACUGGGCGUAAAGCGUGCGCAGGCGGUUUUGUAAGUCUGAUGUGAAAUCCCCGGGCUCAACCUGGGAAUUGCAUUGGAGACUGCAAGGCUAGAAUCUGGCAGAGGGGGGUAGAAUUCCACGUGUAGCAGUGAAAUGCGUAGAUAUGUGGAGGAACACCGAUGGCGAAGGCAGCCCCCUGGGUCAAGAUUGACGCUCAUGCACGAAAGCGUGGGGAGCAAACAGGAUUAGAAACCCGGGUAGUCCCA